CACCGCCUGGGGAGUACGACCGCAAGGUUAAAACUCAAAUGAAUUGACGGGGACCCGCACAAGUAGUGGAGCAUGUGGUUUAAUUCGAAGAUACGCGCAGAACCUUACCAACACUUGACAUGUUCGUCGCGACUUUAAGAGAUUAAAGUUUUCGGUUCGGCCGGACGAAACACAGGUGCUGCAUGGCUGUCGUCAGCUCGUGUCGUGAGAUGUUGGGUUAAGUCCCGCAACGAGCGCAACCCUCACUUUUAGUUGCCAUCAUUAAGUUGGGCACUCUGAAAGAACUGCCAGUGAUAAGCUGGAGGAAGGUGGGGAUGACGUCAAGUCCUCAUGGCCCUUACGUGUUGGGCUACACACGUGCUACAAUGGUAUCUACAACAGGAAGCAAGACGGCGACGUCAAGCAAAUCCUUAAAAGAUACCUCAGUUCGGAUUGCACUCUGCAACUCGAGUGCAUGAAGCUGGAAUUACUAGUAAUCGUGGAUCAGCGUGCCACGGUGAAUGCGUUCCCGGGUCUUGUACACACCGCCCGUCACACCAUGGGAGUUGGUUCUACCUUAAGGCAAGGUUUAAAACCCUUGACCACGGUAUAGUCAGCGACUGGGGUGAAGUCGUAACAAGGUAGCCGUAGGGGAACCUGCGGCUGGAUUACCUCCUUUCUAAGGAUGAAUGAAAUUUUUUUCAUUCUAAAUAAUAUACAUAGGCAAUGUUGACCGUCCUCAUUUCUCUUCUUAAUUAGUGUUUCUCUUGCAUGGGGGCCGGUAGCUCAGUUGGUUAGAGCACACCCUUGAUAAGGGUGGGGUCGAAAGUUCGAGUCUUUCUCGGCCCACCAAUUUAAGAUUAAGGGGGAUUAGCUCAGCUGGGAGAGCGCCUGAUUUGCAUUCAGGAGGUCAGCGGUUCGAUCCCGCUAUCCUCCACCAAAACACUUAGUUAUAAAAAUCGUGAAUAAAAAAUUAAUAAUAUCAAUAUCUAUAUCCGAACAUUAGUAAUGUUAUUAGCUAAUGUUCAAAAUAAAAAUUUGAUUCAACACAGAAUUUUUUUCUG
rnacentral:sRNA from 1 species